rnacentral:pre_miRNA from 1 species
UUUUGAGUAUAAGCAUGUCCCAUGCAAUUUGGGGACAUGCUUAUACUAAAC